ACACUAGGGUUCUUGAGAUGUUGAAUACUAAAUGAAGUAAAGGCAGCACCCAUGGUGAUGAAUUCGAUGGAUGGAAAAUUUUGCAAUGAAGCUAGAGAGGGCGCCCAUGGUUGAAGAAAAUCAUAUAUGAGCAAAUCUGGGCUUAGGGUUUUGAGGAUGUUGGAGAAGUUGUUGCUGGACAUAUCAAAGGCCCUUUUGAGAGUGGACAUGAGAUGGGGAGGGAGGCCAUUGGUGGUAUGGUAGUGAGGUGGGAGUUCAGGCAAGUCAUCAUGUGGAAGAUGGAGUUCCACAAAUUCAAUGCAAUGAGAAUAUUUUUGGGAGAGUUUAGGCUUGAUGGAGCUGAGAUUUACAGGCGUGGAACAAAUAAAGAUGUGAAAAUUUCUCUUGGUGGUCAGCUUCUUGGCUAGCUCUAGGUAGGGAGAUAUAUGGCCGUGAGCUAGCCAUGGAAGCAUAAGAAUAGUAAGUUUUCUUUGGUCAGAGUAAACCAUAUUUUGUUUUCCUUUCACUCUUUUGCUUGAGGUUGCUCGAUUAUAGGCUUAUUGGUAGUUUUUUUGUAGCUAGCUCUAUGCAUAUAUAUAUAUAUAUACACACACAUUCAUGGGAAAAGAGGCUUGGGGAUGGGAAAUCAAUUGAUUUCCUAUGUUUGGUAAAGUUCGGGUAUGAGAAAUCGUUGCUUUGCACAUGAGAAAGUAGAGGGGAAAGUGAAGCCCUCCUCCUUCCUUAGGUUUUGUUUUCCUCCUCAUGGGAAAGUUUGGGAAAAUGAGCUAAUAUUAAAUACAUAUUUUUCAUGACCAUAUUAUCCCCAUUAAUAAUUUAGAAUUACAUAAAUGCAUUCUAUUUUUAUUUGAUUUCAUAUGGGUAUAAUUGAAAAAUUAAACAAAUUUUGUUUUACAUUCCUACACAAACCAAACAUGUGAAAGGAAAUAAAGUGGUAUUUCUUGGUUACUUUCCCAAGAUUACCAAACAUAGGAAAGGAAUCUCUAUUUCCCAUCCCUUAGAAAAUGACUUGGAAAGUAAUUUCUCCUCAAAUUCGUUCCGUGAACCAAACGGAACCUGCAUAAUAGAAGUUCCAAAAAAACACGUGAUGAUUGGAUCAUGCAUAUGUAAGUUCCCGAGUGAUGAUUGGAACAAGUUCCUAAUGAUAAAGACUCGAAACAAGAAUAGUUUAAACUUUCUUCUUUGUUUGGCUUGAUAUAAGACGAAUGCACCAAACAAACCGACUAAUUGCUGGCACAAUAUAAAUUGGGGCUACAAUUACCUAAUAAUUAGGUACUAAGGGCUACAAUUACCUAAUAAUAUCAACUUUCAUUAUACAGAUUUGAGAAACAAAAAGUUCAACUUUGAUGACAAGCGAUAUUAAAGGAGGGCGUAAUCAAACUUAGGAUCUUGAGUGUAGAAAUAAAUACUUUUAACAACUUGAGCUACAAGCCUUUUGUAAUAUUAAUGAUAUUUUAAUUAUACGUUUGAAUAGUUCGCUUCCUUCUCUUUUAUUUUCAUUUGUUUAUAUUUAACUCUAAUUUUAUUUAUAUUUUUGGUCAAGGUAAAAAGACUUUGAAUCUCUCUCCAAUGAUUUUCACAGCCGAAACUCCUUUAGUUUCCACAAAUAUUUUUUAAUAUUUCAUGCAUUUGUAAGUUUCCGACUCGGAUGGUUCAUGUAACCAAGAAGUUUAAACUUGUUUUUGCUUGUUCCGCCGACGAAAGCGCAACAAAAGGACAAACUACAACCAAUACUUCUAGUAUCACCAGUUCUCAUUGAAUUUGUUGCCGUGAAUGUUUAGGAUUCUGCCCAAACUAGUAUUUGCGUUUCUGAAUUGUUUGAAAACACAUAUGAAAUUAUGAUUUCUCCUCCCCAGAAGACAAAUUGACGAAGAAGUAUCAUGAUUUUGAUGACACAAAUUAGAAUCCAGGGUUUUCGAAGUGCCUAAUGGACAACUAUUAAUUUAGAAAUAUAUAUAUUUUUUUCGCAAUGCAGAAACACAUAAAUCCCAAGUUUGAAUUCAUCCUAUUUUUGUUUUUGUUUUUUCCUUUUUUAACCCAGAAGAAAAAUUGAGUGCCACUCUGCUAUGUAGAAUGCAAGUUUUAGUUUAGAUUUUUUUUUCUUUUUAGUCUCUUAUUCUACAUUUAGAUCUCAUAUAUUUACUCGCAUUUUAUUAAAUCUAAGUCAUUCAAACAAUCUGACCACUUAACAAAUUACAAGUACUCAAACUUAAAAUCAGAUUGGAUGGACAUGAGGCUUACACUGAUGAUUCUACACGUGCUGAGAAUAGUCCUUUUAUUUCUUUAUUAUUUUCUUGGUCGGGACUCGAGAGACAGGUGUAGUGUAGCGAUGGAGACGAGGCCCGCAAGACAUAAAAGUCUGAAGAAGAGAAGCGUGAAAGCUUCAUUUAGACAGUUAAGUGCAUACGUAACGUAAAGAUUCAAAGACUAUGUCCCUCUCCAAACAGGGAAAGAUCUGAGUUGAAAGCAACAAACUACAGUCACAAUAGGAAAGCAUCUACAACGUAAAGAAAAUAAGUUUACCAGAAGCAUCGGAAAGAUCUAGAGUCUGAAGAAGAGAUACUGAAGUAAUUGUUCAUCGACUGAGCUUAAAUGAAAUAUUAACUCUUUGUUGUGCCAUAAGCACAAGAUCUUAAGAAAAAAAUUCAAGAUAAACCAUAUAAUAUUUUCUAACCCACAAAAUAAUAUAGAAAAUAAAUGCAAGAACAAGAGAAUAGCAAGACACAACGAGGCUGCUUACAAUCAGUGUAAAUGAGCAAACAAAUUCACCAUCAACAAAUUAGCAUGCUUAUGAAGUGUUUUGCAACCUCACAAACCAAGGCGCCAUAUACACCAAAUGACUCUCACUGAAAAACUAAACAAAGAAACACACUCACACUAAUGAAAGCAACGUUACAAGGUAGGAGAUUGAAUAUUACAUUUACAAUACACUCAUAAGUUACAAAAACUAAUUACAAAUAUUUAGCGCAUAGGUUACAUAGAACUGAAAGGGUGGAAUGAUAAGAGCUAUGGUGGUCAUCCACCAACUCAUGCAUUUACAACACCGCCUCUUGAAUGUCCACCAUACAAUACAAUGAUAUAGUUGCGUCAUUAAACACUUUGCUUGAAAAACUAUAUGGGACAAAACUUAGGCUACGGGAAAAAGAGUGCAACACAAAUAAUAUUGAUAUCACAUUUGUCUCUCCUACGGAAUGAGCUUUGGUGAUGUUUGUAUAAAAAUUGCGUACAAACCAUUAUUGGAAGAUUGGGCUAGAGUGGGCUUUACCCUAGUGUUGACUUUGGAAAGAGACAAAUUAGGCUUAGUUGUGUAAAUUCAAUCCAAAAAAAAAUUAAAUAAUAGCCCACAUCUACAGCCAAAUACUUUAAUACUUUAAUUACUAAAGUUUUUUUUUCUUUCUCUCUCUUCUUUGGUUUAUUCAGCUUUUGAUUUGGCUCAAAUAAUGUUUAUAUCUCUCUUUGAUUUUGUUUUUUCAAAUUUAUUGAUGUUGCUUCUUUUGAAAAUUUUGAAAUAUGGACCCUCCCUAACUAAACCACUCCAUUGAGCAAAAGCCCUUGAGCUUCAAAUUUAUCUUCGUCUGAGCCUCUGAAUUUUGGUUUUUUUUAGGUUUUUUUUGUUUGUUGUAGGUUUCUUUGUUCACAUAUCUCUCUAAAAAUAGUAUUUUUCUUAAUGAAUUCUGAAAAUAGUUUUUAAUUUGAAGGAAAUAUACGGAAUUAGUAAAAAAGUAUACCACUUUCAUUAAUCUGAAGGAAAUAUUGCUUUAUAUAUAUUUGUUUAAAAAUAGGGCUUAUAAUUGAUCUCAAAAAAAAAAAAAAAACAAAUAGCCCACCCCUGUAAAUAUUCCUUAGUCCGCCAUUGCAUGGCAUAAUAUUUGGUAUGCUAUGCUAGCAUCUCAUAAGCUCUUCAAGAGACCUGAAUUUUAUGAUAACUUCUUAAAAAAUUUGAAUACAUUUCAACGAUAUUAAACUUGAAUUUGAACUCAUAAUUCAAUCAAAGUACUCAUUGAGGCAAUUUAGAUCAUUUUCAUUUUAAAAAAAUUGGGUGCACACAUUGAGCUUCAUGCUCUUUACCUUCUUAGAGAUUUUAUUUGAGGAAUUUAUAUUGCAUCACAUAUUACAUCUCUUAGGAUUUGUUCUUAUUAUGUAUUCUUUAAGAGAUCUAUUCUUGCAAUAUGCUUCAAACACUUCAUAAUCUUUAUGAAUUUUUCAUGUAGAUUUAAGGUCUCCAUGAAUAUUGAGAUUGAAACAAGGAGUAAAAGAGUUAAAAGUUUAAGAAAUUUUUUCCCUGAUUAUUUUGUAAUUAUAAUGUUGGUGAAAAUCCAAUUUCCUUUCUAGAAUUUGUGAAAUUUGUUAUUUGGCUAAGCUAAAAGUAUAAUUUUGACAAUAAAAAGCAUAUGAAAGUUUCUCUUUGGUUGGCUUCUUGGCUAGCUCUAGGAACGGACAGUGUGGCCAUGAGAUAACCAUGGAAGUAUAAUAAGAAUGCUUGGAUGCUGUGAACAAUCCAUUUUCUGACUCUUUUUCUUGAGGUGGUUGUUUUCUUAUGGCCCAUCAGAGUUUAUGGUCGACAGAUAAGCUUCAAACACAUGCAUUGGUCGUGUCAGUUGCGAUAAACUCUUCCCAACAAUCAACAAUUUCUAAGGUAAUAUCAUCAUUCAAUCAUGUGCUGAAUUUAGAAUUGUUUUCAAAUCAAGGAUUUGUUUUGGAACUCAGAUUUUAAAACAAUUAAAAUUUAAUUGGGAAGACUUUUUGUUUAAAGGAAGUUCGUUUCAAUUCAAAAAAUAAUUUUUCAGUUUUUCAACUCAAAAGUCUUCUCAGUUUUCUUAUUUUUCUUAUUGGCGAGUUUCUUGGUUAACUCUAGGAAGGGAGAUAUGUGGCCAUGAGCUAACCAUGGAAGCAUAAGAACGCUGACCAUGCUUGGAUUUUGAGAAGACUUCCUCUUUUUUUUUUCCCUGACUCUUCUUCUUGAGGCGGUGGUUGGCUUAUGGCCUCAUAAUAGUUUGGUGUUUUUGGAGAUCAUAUGGUGAUGAUCUGAUGGAGAUGAGUCAUAGUUUGUGCUAGUGCAUACGUAAUUCCAAUUUCCUGAUUCAGAUGGGAUAAACUCUUCCAACAAAUUAAGACUCUUAUCAUGCAUACACAUAAGAAGUGGAAAUUUGCUUCUGUCUUAGUUUGGCCUUGAUAUAGGACAGCUCAUAGGAAAGCAUCCAAAACAAUAUUCUUUUUAUUUUUUUUAUUUGAAUACAAGCGAUAUUAGGAGUGUGGGGAUUUGAACACAUGAUUUAGGGUACAGGGUAAUGCUCUUAACUAUAUGAGUUACAAGUCCCUUGCAAACAGUCUGAAAUACUAAAAAUAAAAAAUAGAUGCUCAUCCAUAUGCACUGUCAUGCCCCAACCCUUGGAUUUACAAAACCUUGUGUUAAGACGUGAUUCACACCUUAAUUAUAGAAUUUAAUAAAAACUAUAACUAAAAUGUGAAGAAAACAUUUAAAUAAAUAAAAUAAAUAUUUCACAUAGAAUAUUCAGUGGAAAUGACAACAUGUGAAAUCUUAAAAAUUUUACAUUAUCUUACAAGUUGGCGUGACUUGUGGAUAUUGACUUACUUUCCUUACACACCAAGAAUUCCUAUUAUAAUUGUAAUUGAUUUACUUUAAUUCAUGAUUUCCUACUGUAAAUAGAUUUAAGAAUUUAUUAUUUACUUGCCCAUUCAGGUUUCGUUGUAUUAUAAAUAUGACCUCCUACAAGGAGAAGAACAUACAGAAAAUUCCCACAAACAAAUAUUCUCUCAUAGUUUUCAUAUUUUAGCAUGGUAUCAGAGCGGCAAUCUUGGAAUUGCUGACUCUAGUUUCAAACCCCCGCCGCCGCUAUGGGGGUUGAUGAUUUUUUCAACCAUCAUGGAGGUAGCACCAUCGACUCCUUCUCUCAUUCUCAACUAACCAUCGUUGAGUUGAGUGCCCAGAUGGCUCCGCUCCUACAGAUGCAGACUUUGACCCCAAACCCGAUCCAGAAUCAGGAUCUUCUUUCGACAACCACGACCCCGAUCUCGACUAUGACAACGACGACCCCGACCCCUACUCUGAAGAUGACCCCGACCCCCACUCCGAUGACCCCAACCCCGAAUUUGUCUCUGAUUCAGAACCCGAUCCCGAUUUCGACUCCGACUCCGGCCUCGACUCAGGCUCAGAUUUCGAUCCAAAUUCCUACUCAACUUAUAUCCUAUGCAUCUUCCGCUGCACAGAUUAUGACUUCUAGACUAACGACCCCGACAUAUGGACCAGAUUGCACAUAUUGUGGUGAUCCGAGACACACUUGUGAGACUUGUUUUAAAUCGCAUGGCUACCCCGAUUGGUGGGCUAUUCUUACAGAUCAAGGACAAUGCACCAGUAAUGGUACUGGUUAUGGAUUCCAUACUUCCGAUAAGAUUGAUUCCAGGAGCUGGAUAAUUGAUUCUGGUGCAACUGAUCAUAUGACGUUUGAUCCUGAUGAUUUUCUGAAUACUACACAACCUCGACGAACUUGUAUUGCAAAUGCCAAUGGUGUUACUUAUCCUGUGACAGGGGCUGGCACUGUUGCACUCUCAUCCUCUCUCACACUGUCUAAUACUUUACUUGUUCCAUUUUUAUCCACUAAAUUGUUGUUAGUUAGUCAGCUUACUAAACAAUUGAAGUGUUGUGUACUCAUUUACCUGAGUUUUUGUUUGCUUCAGGAUAUUCACACUAAGGAGAUUCUUGGUCGUGGUACUAAGAGAGGGGGGCUAUAUUAUGUCGAUGACUUCAGUUCCGGCGUGCCUAACAGUGUGACACAUCCCUUUGAUAGCAAACAAAAGCAAAUUUGGUUGUGGCACCUUCGAUUGGGACAUCCGUCUUUCAGUUAUAUGAAGCAUCUUAUACCAGAUUUAUUCUUAGGUUUCAAGGACUCCGACUUCACAUGUGAUACUUGUAUUUUGGCUAACAGUCACCGUGUGCCCUACCUGUUGAGUACGAACAAGUGUACUUGUAAGAUCCCACAUCAACCAACGGAGAGGGGGUGAUGUGCCUUAUAUAUGCACACCUGCAUCCAUCUAGCACGAGGCCUUUUGGGAGCUCACUGGCUUCGGAGUCGUAGGAACUCCGAAGUUAAGCGAGUUGGGGGCUAGAGCAAUCCCAGGAUGGGUGAUCCACUGGGAAGUUGCUCGUGAGCUCCUAGAAACAAAACCGUGAGGGCAGAGAGAGGGGCCCAAAGCGGACAAUAUCGUGCUACGGCGGAGUUGAUCCCGAGAUGUGACAAUUUGGUAUCAGAGCCACUCUGCCGUGUGGUGCGAAUGUGCCGACGAGGACUUCGGGCCCUUAAGGGGGGUGGAUUGUAAGAUCCCACAUCAACCAACGGAGAGGGGGUGAUGUGCCUUAUAUAUGCACACCUGCAUCCAUCUAGCAUGAGACCUUUUGGGAGCUCACUGGCUUCGGAGUUGUAGGAACUCCGACGUUAAGCGAGUUGGGGGCUAGAGCAAUCCCAGGAUGGGUGACCCACUGGGAAGUUGCUCGUGAGUUCCCAGAAACAAAACCGUGAGGGCCAGAGAGGGGGGCCCAAAGCUGAUAAUAUCGUGCUACGGCGGAGCCGAUCCCGGGAUGUGACAAUUGUACUACUCCAUUUACGUUAAUUCACUCUGAUGUCUUGGGACCUUCGCCUAUCACUGCUCCUUCUGGUGUUCGAUGGUUUGUCACAUUCAUCGAUGAUUGUAUACAGAUGACAUGGCUUUAUUUGCUGAAGAAUAAAAACGAAGUGUUUUCCCGUUUUCAGUCCUUCCACAAACAGAUGAAAACUCAGUUUAAUGCUCAAAUCCAGAUUCUUCGCUCAGACAAUGGUGGAGAAUUUGUCAAUCAUGACUUUCAGACUUACUUCCAACAACAUGGAAUUAUCCAUGAGACGACUUGUCCUCAGACACCACAACAAAAUUGUGUUGUUGAACGAAAGAAUUGACAUCUUCUUGAAACCGCCCAAGCACUUCUGAUUGGCGCUCAUGUUCCUCGCUAUCACUGGGAUGAUGCUAUUGUCACCGCAGUUCACCUGAUCAACCGCAUGCCUUCUGGUGUAUUGACCUUUAAAACUCCCUUACAGGUGCUUGCGCAACACAGACCUCUGCUCUCUGUUUUGGUACUCACACCCCGAAUCUUUGGAUGUGUGGCUUUCGUUCAUCUCCACAAAAAUCAACGUAGCAAACUUGAUCCCUGUGCGCUUCGUUGUGUUUUUAUAGGUUAUGCCACUCAUCAGAAAGGCUACCGUUGUUAUCACCCUCCUACCCAACGAACCUAUGUCACUUUGGAUGUGACCUUUCUGGAAUCUGAGUUGUUCUUCCAUGACCCAUCAUCCAAUUCUACGCAUCAGGGGGGGAUACGAAGUGAAGAGCAGAAUUGAAGCAACUUGGGAAAUAAAGAAAUUUUCCUCUGUACAGAAAUGAUUAAUCAUCCUGAGUCUGGAGCACGAGAUUACUCUCUGUCGAAAAGCAACCAAUCGCCCAUUCAUAGCGAUCAAUUGCCUCACCUACCUGAUCCAUGUGAAGAUAUUUUUGAUCCGAGUCUCACACCUACAGACAAUACAGAACAACAAGAUGAAGACUCCCCCUCUAACUCAACAGUACCAACAGACCAAUCUCCUGAGAAUAUCCUUGAGGUAACUACUCCUACUAGAUUUGUGCAUUUAAAUGAUUAAACUAUUGGAUAUCAAUUACCUUUCAGGGAAAAUCGUGGGAAGCCAUCAAACCGUUAUGCACCUGAUAUUGGCAAGACAUCCAAGUAUCCAAUUGCAAAUCAUGUAUCCACUGAGAAGCUGUCUGAACAACUCAAGGCUUUUGUGCAUCAGUUGUCUGCGAUCCAUAUUCCAACCAAGGUCUCUGAAGCAUUAAAAUAUCCUAAGUGGGUCCAAGCUAUAAAAGAGGAGAUGAAAGCUCUUGAGAAAAAUCAGACUUGGACAUUAGAGACUAUACCUCGAGGAAAAAAGACUAUCAGAUGUAGAUGGGUGUUUACUAUAAAACACAAUGUAGAUGGAUCUAUCGAGCAAUACAAGGCAAGACUUGUGGAAAAAGGGUACACACAGACAUAUGGUAUAGACUAUGAAGAAACCUUUGCUCCAGUUGCAAAGUCAAACACCAUCAGAGUCUUAUUGUCCCUUGCAGCUAAUUUGGAUUGGCCACUACACCAGUUUGAUGUAAAGAAUGCUUUUCUACAUGGCGUACUCACGGAGGAGGUGUACAUUUACAUUCCUCCUGGAUAUAAUACUACUUAGACUGGAACAGUUUGCAGGUUACGAAAAGCAUUGUAUGGAUUGAAACAGUCACCACGUGCAUGGUUUGGACAGUUCACCAUGGCAAUGAAGAACAAUGGUUCAAACAGUGCAACUCAGAUCAUACUCUACUCUUGAAACAUCGAAAAGGGAAGGUAACAACAUUAAUAAUCUAUGUUGAUGAUAUGAUUAUUACUGGGAAUGAUAAACAGGAAAUAUCACAGCUACAAGACUAUCUGGCUACGGAGUUUGAGAUGAUGGAUCUAGGUGGACUCAAGUAUUUCUUGGGAAUUGAGGUGGCUCGAUCCCAGCAAGGCAUAUUUCUCUCUCAAAGGAAAUAUGUCUUGGACUUGUUGACAGACACAUGAAUGCUAGAUUGUAAACCUGCGAACACUCAUAUUGUUCAGAAUCAUCAUCUUGGAGAAUAUCAUGAUCAAGUUCCAACUAACAAAGAAAGAUACCAAAGGUUAGUAGGAAGAUUGAUCUAUUUGUCACAUACUUGACCAAACAUUACUUAUGCAAUGAGCGUUGUCAGUCAAUUUAUGCACUCUCCAAGUGAAGACCACACGAAUGCAGUUCUUCGGAUACUUAGAUAUUUGAAGUCUGCACCUGAAAAAGGACUUAUUUUCUGAAAGCAUGGUCAUAUAAAUAUUGAUGGUUAUUCAGAUGUAAUGUAACAGAUAGAAAAUCCACAUCCGGUUACUUAACAUUCAUGGGAGGUAAUUUGGUGACAUGGAGGAGCAAGAAACAGAAUGUAGUAGCUUUAUCCAGUGCAGAAGCCGAGUUCAGAGGCAUGACUAAAGGAAUUUGUGAACUUCUUUGGUUAAGAAAGUUGCUUACUGAACUUGGGUAUAAACCUACAUCCACAAUGAUUCUCUUUUGUGACAACAAGGCUGUUAUAGCCAUUGCACAGAAUCCGGUUCAGCAUGAUCGUACUAAACAUGUUGAGGAGGAUCGACACUUCAUCAAACAGAAGCUUGAGGCUAAAAUGUUUCAGUUUUCUUUUGUGAAAUCCGAGGAUCAAUUGGCGGAUAUUUUGACAAAGGUGAUUUCCAGUAAAACAUUCCACAAUUCACUGGAUCAGUUAGGCAUUGGCGAUAUCUAUGCACCAACGUGAGGGGAAGUGUUGGCGUGACUUGUGGAUAUUGACUUACUUUCCUUACACACCAAGAAUUCCUAUUAUAAUUGUAAUUGAUUUACUUUAAUUCCUGAUUUCCUAUUGUAAAUAGAUUUAGGAAUUUAUUAUUUACUUGCCCAUUCAGGUUUCGUUGUAUUAUAAAUAUGACCUCCUACAAGGAGAAUAACAUACAGAAAAUUCCCACAAACAAAUAUUCUCUUAUAGUUUUCAUAUUUUAGCAAGAACUACUCGAGAGUUUACUAAAAGAGUAGUUCAGUAUUCAUCCACAAGCUAUAUACACAAUACACUCUAUAGAUAUGCCAAAAUCAUCGCAAGCUCUAGAUUUUAGGUUCGAUACCUGCAAAAUCUAUUAGAAGGGUGAGUGAAACCACAGUUUAGUAGGGACAUAAACCUUUUCACGGUAAACUGAUAUAAUUAAAUUAAGUGAAAAAUAAUCACACAGCCAAAUAUCACAUUAUUAAUAACAAUGCAUGAAUGCUCUUCAUUUAACCCGUUAAUUCAUAUAAUUAGACAAGCUUCACGACCCAUACCAUGCUUAUACCACUUAGUCCCGAAUGCCAAUUUAUAUGAAUUAACGCCCAUUUCAAUCAUCCCAUAAUUCCCAUUUUGUUAGUCAUCUUGUCUAACUCCCUGUUGCCAGUCCUGAAUCACCAAAAAAAAAAAACCAUGUGCACUAUGGGAUCCCUGAGUACUAGUACCUGGCAAGAGUUAGACUCAACUACACAAAAGAUCAUUUCUAUUACCCUCUUAUCCACCAUUAUUUUCUCAACUUCAGAAUUCUAGCCAAAUUCCAUGACAUGAUAUAAUUAAAAUUAUGCCUUCACAACAAUGUGCCCAUUUAAAACAUCACUAAUGCACAUAUAAUUAUGCCCACAUUGUUCAAAUAGUUAAGAGUACGUAAAUACCCAAUACAUGGAACGUCAAUCAAACAGUACCACGCAUAAUAUAAUGCUCAAGAAAUUUAAUUAAAUCAAUCUCUGUAAAAGGCCCCUAAGAAACCCCUGCCUUGAUACUAAAGCUUUUGCUAGACCUAUAAGGUGUUUUCCAAUUUUCCACCGCAUUCACAAACUCUGUCUUCUACUUUUUUUCUUACUUCUCUCUACCACUAUUUCUUUCUCGUUUUCUUUGUUUUCACUUGUUGUGCAACUUAAUGUCCUAUAUAUAUACAAGGAACAAGUCGGCAGUAAGUGAUUUCCUAUUGGAUGGUGUAUUCGGUUGUUAUAAACUUACUAGUAAUAGUUAUCAAUGUAGUUGCAGAUGAGGAAGAAUGUUUUUGUGACUCUUCCAAUCCCUCUAAUCCUAUUUCUUAUCUUCUUGGUGAGUUGAUAGCCUCGAUACUUAACAGAUUUUAUACUUUGACACGUAUUAACAAGAACUAUUUUAAAAACAUAUACAUAUAUAUAUAUAUAAUAGAAUAUGUAUAUAUGUAAUACACAUAUUUAUAUAUAAUAAGAAUAAUAUAUAUGUAAUAAGAUAUAAAUAUUUAUUAGAACAGUAUAUAAAAUAAUAUAUAUCAUUCUUAUUAUAACAAUAAUUUUAAUUUUCCCAAAAUAAUAUAUAUUUAAAAAUAUGUGGUUUCACAUGCAUGUCCUUUUUGCUAUAGACACUAUUACAAAAAUCGAAAUAGACAACGGAAAACUACCGUCGUCUGGAAAGUUUUCAAACAGUCGUGAAAUCGACUGUCGUCUCUUUUACAUAAAACAACGACGGCUAUUAACCAACGUCGUUAAUACAUUCCACGUAAAAAACUAUUAUAAACCGACGUGUAAUUACUAUAUAUAUAGCCUAAAAUAAAAUCUUCAACAACCUUAGACGACGGUUUUAUUAAAACUGACACGUCUAAAGAGUGUUACAUGUCAAGAUCAAAACAAGAACCGACGUACAGAUAAUUAUCCACGUCCUAAUUGAAGUAAAAUAGACUUGGAUAACCUAGAAACCGUCGUGGUUAACAUAUACUACGUUAAAUUAACAAAGGCACUUACGUCUAAAAAGUAAAAGACAACACGCGCACAAAGCAACAGACGUUUAAAGCUUAGUACAUGUCAAUAGCCGCUCAAUAACCGCAGUAAAAUGAAUUAACCACGUCCCACAUAUGGCAGAACUGUUGCUUAUGUGAUUAUCCACGUCGCGGAGUAGUAGAACAAAGACGUUGUAACCAUAUUCCACGUCUGUUUCUUGUGAGAAUUGUCGUUUAAAUUAUACAAAGAAGCCCCUUUGACAGAGUUAGACGUUGCUCUUGCUGUAGAACCGACUUCUAACAGGUUUAAAAUGACACAAUAUUACUUAAUACUGCCGUAACAAAUCAUAUCCACGACUGCUGUUGUCAAAGACUGACGUUACAAAAAAUAUUGAAGGUGUUGACAAAAAAGAACCGACAUGGAUUAUGCAUUCAACGUCGUGUGGUCUAAAAAUAAAGGACGUGGUUAAUUUUUUCUCUACGUCAAGUGGAUCCAAUUGCCUGAUGUUGUAAUUCUUUACCAUGUUGGUUUUUAAUACAUGAUGAUGUGGUUGUCCUUUUAAAAGUCGCUUGUUUUACCCUCCUUGACGUGUGUAUGAUAUGAGACGUCAAUUGUUUUAGACUAGCUGACGUGCAGAAAAUCUGUCACGACAAUUAAUGCAACUGAAUUGCCUCUAUUUCCCCCAGACGACGGUAGGUUUUAAGUGUGGAAGUAGUGUUUUACAAAAUCGUAAGUUGGAGUAAUCUACCAUCGUGUUAUUCGAGAAUAUACCACGAUCUUUGUUUUGUACUCGGUCGCUGAUGUUUAUACUACUUAAUAAACUGACAUGUUUUCAGUUUCAGACGGCGGCUUUUGUUUCUUUAUGGUCUUUUGCAUUUUUUUUCCAUGACAUUUUUGAAAGCCUAAUGUUGGUUUUAUUUUAGAAAUCGAUUUUUCCCCUUUUUUUACUGGACCGUCGUACUUUACACAUUUAAUCAAUUUUUUUCAAUUUUUGAUUCAUCGUGCCCAAAGCCUACAUAACGAAAAUGUGAUCAGAAUUAAAAUGAUGUACAAAGGUAUUAAUUAAUGUCAUACAAUUAACUGAAUAACUAAUGUCAUACACUACAACAAUCAAUCAAUCCAUAUAUCUUCACACCCAUCUUUAAUAUUUUCACUCCCAAACUCACCCACUAGGUCAUCAUAUGUGUCAACAUUUGGUAUCCCUCUAGUAAAUGUCUCACACUCAAUUCUAAUAUCACCUAGCACAUCAUCACCAAUAACAUUAUUAUAUUCUCUAUUAUGCAUUGAUAACACUACCGACCAACCACGAUGCAUUGGGUCGUCAGCAUAAAAUACUUGUUUUGGUCAUUCCUAUGUCCAAUUUUACUCAAAUCUACAAAGGUGAAUCCAAGUUCAUCGACAACAAGGCCCAAAGUGUUAUCUAUCCAAUCACACCUCAAGACAAGGAUUCUAAACUUUUGGUAGUCAAGGUCCCAAAUUUCUUGAAUAACACCAUAAAAACCCAUAUUGGAGACAAUAGAGUUUUUAUCCUUAGCACUAGCAACUUGCAUAGUAUGUGCAAGUAAAUAAACUCCACUAUUUUGGACAGUUCGCAUAUCAUCUUGUGCCUUGGUGUUAAAUUUAACACCAUUAAUAAGAUAGCUCCUAUAUGAUGGCAUUGCCAUGCUUGGACUAGCUGCUAGCCACCUCAAAUUUUAUGAUACGCCAUUAUGCUCUUCCCCAUUAAGUUCACUUUGAACUUGCAAAUUAAUCGUAUAUAUCCUAAUUCGAUCUAACAUAUAAAAAGGAAGAAAAUUAAAAGUUGAAUAUGUCAUUCAAUAACAUAUAUACUUGAAAGUGUAGCCAUUGAAUGAAAGUGCUAUUGUGCUUAUCUUGCAGCCACUUUGUUCUCUUUCUAAAUAUUGGAUAAGUGGUCUUGAUGUGGAUCAUAUGUUCCAUACAUUGACACGAAAAAAUCAAGCAUUACGGUCCCUUGUAUAUAAGAUAACAUAAGGAAUAAUAAUAUUUAAAAUGGCUCUAUAUGAAAAAUGGAACUCAUGCGUACUCGAUAUAAGGUAGGACUUCCUCAGUAUUCUCCAAGACAUAUAGAUGUGUCUGGUUCAAAAAACCCGAUCACCUAAGCUUACUGUGCAACCAGAUAAUGGCUUUGAAACUCCCAUCUUCUAGCUUGAAGGCACUCCAACUGUACUAACAUCAGAUAAAUGCUCGGUGCAAAACUCUACAACUUCUUCAGCUAUAUACCGCUCAAUAAUGCAACAUCCGGGACGAGUACGGUUCUGAACAAACCUAUUUAGCACUUUCAUAUGUCUUUCAAAUGGAUACAUCCAUCUAAAAUAUACUGGCCCAUGUAGACGAACUUCUCUGACAAGAUGUACUACUAGAUGAACCAUGAUAUCAAAGAAUGAAGGGGGAAAGUACUUCUCAAGCAAACGCAACGUAACUACUACAUCUUCUUCCAAAUUAUCUAGCUUGGAAACAUCUACUGUCUUUGCACAUAUAGCAUUGAAGAAGAAGCACAAUCGAGUUAUUGCAUACCUUGCAGGCUUCUCCAAACAGAACGAAUUGCCACAGGGAGCAAUUGUUGCAUCAAGGCAUGAAAAUUAUGAGAUUUAAGGCCAAGAAGUCUUGAAUAUUUUUAAGAUACAAGAUUUUUUUAUAUUUGAACAAUAACCUUCAGGGACUUUCAUACCAUAGAAAGAAUUGCAAACCGCUCUCUUAUCUGCUCUUGACAAAUUCUAGGGCCUUGGAGGCAAGCGAGUACGUCUUUCUCAAUACUCGGGUUGCAAAUCAUUUUUGACCCCCAUGUUCAAUAAAUCUAACCGAACAGCAAUCUCAUCUUUAUUUUUUCUAGGGAUCUCCAGCAAUGUACCAAUGAUACUAUCGCAAACAUUCUUCUCAAUAUGCAUAACAUCUUGGACAUGCCUCAUAGGAAGGUAUUUCAAAUACUCGAGAUCAAAGAAUUUUGAUUUCUUAUUCCAACAAACUCUGUCACCAUCAUUCUCAAAAACACUUCCCCCAUUUUUCGAGCCCCAUAUGUAAUUAAUAUCUUCAACCAUGUCCUAUUCAAGUUAAUGGUUCGGGAGGCGUGCCAUAUUCAAGUUUUCCAUUGAAAGCUGCACGCUACCUCCGACAUGGAUGAUUGAUUGGUAACCAUUUUUUAUGACCAAUGUAACAAAUUUUGGGGCCAUUUUCAACCUGUGACUAGGUGUAUCAUCGCCGCAUAUUGGACAAGCUUUAUAUCCUUUAACGACACUGUAACACCCCGACUCUAAAUUAAUCCCUUAUUUAAUUAUUUAAAGAAAAUUACAAAUUUACCCUUAAGAUAGGGGUAUUUUGGUCAUUUUCUUACCCGAAGAGAGUUUGGGGCAGUGACUAGUAUUUUUGGAUAGGUCGUACUGAGACGAGUUCAUAGACACGUAGUGGGCUCGAAUCGAAGUUGUAACGAGAGAGAUAUGGUCAAAAGAAACCCAAUUGCACAAUCAUAAUUAUUUCGAAAUGAGAUUUUUAUAAAAAUCAGAUUUUUUUUUCUCUCUCUCUCUCUCUCCUCGUCGGUCUCUCUCCCUCUCCUCGAAACUCCGGCCAUCGGCCACGGCUGUGGACGGGGCCGGUACCAAAAUGACCGAGGCGUUGUCCUCCUCUAAUCCCAGCUAGGUCCCGCCGUCAGCCGCCAUGGUUUCGCCGGAAAAUGGAGAAGAAGCGGCCGGCGUCGUCCGAAGUUCUCCGCCGUUGAUCUCCCUCUUCCGGUCACCGAUUCCGACGAGUGAGGUAUGGUUUCUCACCUACUUUUCAUGCUCUAGCUGCCUGCUGGGUAUGAUUGGAUUGAUUUUUAGCGUAGGCAAUUCGAUUUUCGCAUUGAAAUUCGGCUAAUUUUGGAAUCACGAUUCCGGCUAGUUCUGGUCAGUUUUUGGGGUAGAUCCAAGAACAAAAGUGGCUCCAAAUAGGGUGUUAUACCUAGGGUAGGAGUUUGGAGCCAUGGUUUUGAGAUUUUCCGGCGAUACGUAAUCGCUUUAGACACCCAACGCUGCCCGCACGUGUGGCAGUGCGUGGGCGAGGGUAGUGAAAUAGCACUAUGUCUCGAUGAGAUCCUUAGGUUGUCACGAGUGCGUAGGAUUUCGCGGAUCUCAAUUCGGACGUCGUUUGACUAUCGAACGGAUUUUCGUAUAUUGCGCGUCAUCCGGGUUCGAUAGGUUGGGACCGUUGGAUGGUCUCGAAUAAAAUAUAUGUUAAUCUAGGUAUUUCUAGGAUCAUGUAGGAAUUCACGGAUUAUAAAUCGGAGCCCCGGAUAUUCCGAAUAAAUAAUUUAAAGUUUAUGUUUUAUAAUAACCGUCACAUCGUGCGAUCGUGAGCGAUCCGACCGGCCGAUCUGGACCAAACUUACAGAACGAGUGUCCUAUACCUUGAAGAACCCAUAGGAAUUUUCAGAUCGAAAUUUGGAGGUCGUGGGCCCCGUGGGCCCAUUUGACUAGGGGUAGGGUAGUUUGACCCUUAGUUGACCGUGAGUCUCCCGGAGUAAUCUCACCUUUCCAGGGGGAUUAUCGGGUGCUAGACUGUUGUUGAGGUUUACACGAUAUUAGUAGUAAAUUAUAUAUUUAUAUACAUUUGUAAAGGUAAAAAAUAAGUCCAGAAUGUCAGUUUGAAGUGCUUUACGCACUACCUUAGGUACCUCCCCGGAUUUUAGUUACACUACAAGUACCACCCUAUGAAAGUUAGGUCCCACGUGGCGUAGGUUAUCCGGCGUGCGGACAGGCCCUAUACGUGGCAUUGGUAGUAUCGGUGUAUGGGGAGAUUACGUGAUAAUAUGUUGAGGUCACACGUGGCGUAGGUUAUCCGGCGUGUUGACAGACCCCAUACGUGGCGUUGGUUGUACCGGCGUAUGAGGAGAUAUUGUGAUAUGAUAUUCAGGUCUCGCGUGGCGUAGGUUAUCCAGCGUUGAGACAGACCCCAUACGUGGCGUUGGUUCUACCGGCGUAUAAGGAGUUUAUGUGAUAUUAUGUUGAAGUCGCGCGUGGCGUAGGUUAUCCGGUGUGUCGACAGACCCCAUACGUGGUGUUGGUUGUACCGGCGUAUGGGGAGAUAUGUGAUAUGAUGUGCAGGUCUCGCGUGGCGUAGGUUAUCCGGCGUUGAGACAGACCCCAUAUGUGGCGUUAGUUGUACCGGCGUAUGGGAAGAUAUUGUGAUAUGAUAUUCAGGUCUCGGGUGGCGUAGGUUAUCCGGCGUGUUGACAGGCCCCAUACGUGGCGUUGGUAGUACCGGUAUAUGGGGAGAUUAUGUGAAAUACAGAGAAAUGAAAUAAGGUAUUGCCUAUGUGUGGAAUUGGGUUUUAAGGAAGAACUACGUGUGGCUUGAUCCCUCAGGGAGGGUACGUAGGCAGCCUAAGGUUAUUAGGUGUAGCCGCGGACAUAGACGUGAUUGUGUUAGGAGGUUAAAACCUCGUAUGUUGAAAUUGAGAAAAUUAGAUGAUGUAUGUUGAAAUUUAGUAGUCGUAAUUUAUAUUUAAAUUUAUCGUUUGCCUUGUUUAAGGCAUGAAUUGAUUUGCUAGCAUGCUUGGUAGUUGAGAAUUAUAGAAAGGCCGAAGGCCGUUUAUGUGAAUUGCAUGGAAUUAUAUUGUGCAUGCUGCCAGUUGUAGUUAUUAAAUGUGUUUUUAUGCAGGUUGAAAUUUUGGGAAAUGUCCAAUUUACAGGGGAGACUCUGCCGAAAUUUCGGCAGAAAGUCUCGGUCUUUAGUAAGUGGGCCUGACAUCGAGGUGAUGUCGGGGAAUCCACAGGAUCCGCCUCGAUUUUUGGAAAAAUCGGGGCGGUUCCUUUCAGACACAACCAGAUAAGUUCUCAUAGGCAGAAAAAUCAUUAAUUGUUCACAGUAAUACACCUAUGAGUGUAAAGUAAUCUCCUAUGUGUGCAUCAUACACUCCUUUAAUCCCAUCCCACAAAGAUUUUAAAUCAUCAAUCAGAGGCUCUAAGUAGACAUCUAUAUCAUUUCCAUUCUAUUUAGGACCAGAAAUCAAUAAGGUCAAUAUCAUGAACUUCCAUUUCAUGCAUAGCCAUGGUGGGAGAUUAUAUGUAACUAAGAUAACCAACAAUUGUAUCUGCUACUUAAAGAACUGUGGGGAUUGAAUCCAUCAGAUGAGAGAGCCAAUCUCAAGUUUCUUGGCUCUUUACUGAACUCGGGCCAUUUAUCAUCAACAAGUUUUUAAGACGGGAAAUUCGCUGGAUGAGACAUAUGACCGUCAAUUGCUUUUCUAGCAACAUGCCAAGUCAAACUCUUAGCUGUCAUAUGUGAUUGAAACAUCCUUUUAAACCUUGGAAUUGGAGGAAAAUACCACACCACCUUCGCUGGCACACUCUUUUUCAAGAUUGAAUCUUUGCAUUCCUUCCACCUUGAGAUACCACAAGUAGGACAAUUAGUUGAAUCUUCAUAAUCAUUCCUAUACAAGAUGCAGUCAUUGGGACAUGCAUGGAUAUUCUCAUAACUCAUCCCUAAAGGAGAUAAUGUCUUUUUUGCCUCGUACAUAGAGGAAUAUAGUGUCUUUCCUUCUGGAAGCAAAUCUCCUUGAAGUAUCAAUAAUUCUAUAAAACAAACAUCACUCAUCCCAUGUUUUGCUUUCAAAUUAUAUAACUUCACCAAAGCCGACAACAUCGUGUACUUACUGCAACCAGGGUACAAGGAUUGAUCUCAAUCCCCAAUCACAUUGGCAAACUCAUAAGGAUCAAAUCCAAUAUCGCCUAAAUCAUUAUCAUCCAUCCCUACUUCUUUAGAAACAAAACUGAACCUACUUUGCUCAUCUUCUUCCACAUUUCUACUAGCAUUAGUAGUCAAUUCCCAAGGUUCUCCGUGCCAUGUGCAAAUCUGAUAGCUUUAGUCAAUUCCAUUAAAGUAUAAGUGGUCCCUCAUAAUUCCAACCCCAAACAAUCGAAUAUUCCCACAUUUAACACAUGGACAACGAAUAUGAGUUGUAUUUCCAAGAUUUUCUACAGCAAAAUUCAAAAAUCCUUCCACCCCUAACUCAUAUGCCUUCGGUCUUCUAUCCGCAUGCAUCCAUGACUUAUCCAUCUCACACACUAUAAAAUCAUAUAUAUAAUAAAGUGAAAAGACCAGCAAUGAAACACUACUUUAUUCACAUAGCAAAGAAUGAAUUGAAAAAAAAAAUUAACCAAGAAUCAGACGACGGUUUUUACAAAAAAAAUCGUCCUGUAACAGAGGGUCAGACGACGGCAUAUCUAGUUAUCGACGUCUUUAAGCUACCCAAACCCAGAUAUUUGUAUUGCUUUUUGAAGAACCGGGUUCUGGGUUCUGGUAAACAAAAGAUGACGGUAAAUGGAGAAACACCGACGUAUCCUAAAACUUGAGACGACGGUUUAUUUCACCAACCGUCGUCGUAGUUUACGAAAAACAGAAGUCUAAAUCUCCCAUCCUCAUUCCUUUUCUAAGAACCCUUAACAAAAUGCAAACAUCAAAAUAUAAAAGAGCCAUAUAUAGCUCCCAAUUAAGAAACCAAAGCUACCAAAACAUAUAUUAAUAAACCAAAGCUACCAAAAUGAACGAAAACAUUUAUGGGUUUUACAAACUAAGAGAAUAUUGAGAGAGAGCUGAGAGAAUAUACUUACAUGGAUAUUGAGAGAGAGCUGAGAGAAUAUAACAAAUGCUUGAGAGAGAGCUUAGAGAAUAUACACAAUGCUUUGAGAGAGAGCGAAAAAUUUAAGACAAAUUUAUGUUGAAGAGAGAGAAGGAAAUAUUUUAGGGUUAAAGGGAAAUUCUGAAAAUUUUAGAUCACCGUCAAAAUUUUCAAAGGACCGCGUUUUUCAAAGACGGCUAAGGAAAACUACCGCCAUUGUAAAUCAUUUUACUACGACGGUUGAGGAAAACUACCGCCAUUGUAAAUCAUUUUUAUGUCGCCUCUAUAAAAACCGACGUCUAAAAUAUUAAAUAAUUAGAUUUGGUUUGCAUUUCGUGGGAUUCUAACGUGCGUAAUUGACCAAAAAGAGCGAGAGAAAACCAGCGUCGUUUCUAUAAAACCUAAACCCUAAACCCUAAACCCUAAACUCUAAAACCUAAACACUGAAAAAAUUAACCAAAAAUUGCUAUGGACUCCUUACAACAAUGCCUUCUAUAUUAGUAGGCUAAAAUCGGGAUUAAAUAAUUUUGAAUUUUAUGACCACCAAUGGAUCACAUAAACCUUAGGGUUAUGUUUAUGGAAAGUAUAAGGAUUAUUGUGUUUUGUCUCUAAAUCUUUUUUACUUUUGUUAUCACUUGUAACUUUGAAAUCUAAAAUUAAAAUUUUCAGGCCUUUAGGGGGGAGAUAUUGUCUCAAUGUGUUUAUAGAAUUUGAGACUGCGAAGGUUCUAGCUGAUUGACUAAGGAUGAGGCAGGAUGGAUGGAAGGUUUGCUUGGAGAUUCUACCUUUGUCAGCUCUUCUGGUUGACAUGUUGUUUAUUCUGCCUGAGGAACUACUUCUAGAUUUUUCCCUUUUCUAGCAGAACUAGUCUCUGGAAGUACUUGUGUGUCAUCCUUAUUCUUGAGGAAGACGCAGUAUUGCCUUUGAACUCUCCUCUUUUGCAUUCUGGUUAGCUUCAGAGUUGGUCUUCGGCUUUUUCCAAUAGAAUAUCAUCUACCUUCUAUGAUAGUUGCAAAGGGCUUGUCAUUUCCAGGCAUCUUAACUGGUAUUUCCUUCUUUGGCUGCUCUAUUAUUCUCUUGUUGCGUUGGGCAGGCCUUAAAUAGUCCUUCUGUCUGGCUCUAUCUCUAGGUGGAGCCGGAACUAGGCCUUGUUGGUAUGAUGUUCCAAUCCUGUCAAAAACACAAGGUGUGGGCUGACUUUGCCUAACCAGAGUUACCUCUAACUCACUUUCACAUUUGCACCUGUUGCACAAAACUACCCCAGCCGAAAUGGUUGCUUUUGGUCUUCAAUUAGCCUAUCUUUGGACUCUUCUGCCUAUGCUGGGGCUAACUUUUGCUGUUAGUUUGCCUUUCUUUUGUUUUGGCCAAUUUAAGUUGACCAUGUUGACUUGAGGUUGGGGAAAAGGGUCUGUUGUUAUCGAAUGAGGUUUCUCAGCCAGUUUUAGCCUCCAUGCUGUUAUUCCUUCCUGUAUGACGUCCCUGAAAACAACACAACUAUUGGUGGAAUGGUCCCAGGAGUUAUGCCAUCUGCAAUACUGUCUGCCCUUGAGUUCCUCUAGCUUGGGCAACUUGUAGGGUGUUUCUAUUGCCUUCUGUCGCAGCAUGUCAUCAAACAGGGCAUCAACCUUGGUUAAAUCGAGGGAAUAGACUUUGUUAUGAGCUGGUUUGUUUGGAACAAACCCUCUUGUGAAUGGUGGUGGCUUUUGGUCCUUUGGUGGCUUUGUUAAAGCCUUGCAACUGAUGAGAUGUUUUAAUUUCCCCAUUUCUGCCACUGCAACUUCUCUCUCCUCCGAGCUUUCUAUGCCUUCUUCUGAUUCUACCUCAACAAGAUUUACUGAAGAGGAUGGGGUUUUGUAAUAUGUGCCUUUGAAAGAGUUCCUCUUCUAUUGUUCUUCCCUGAGCAGCUCCUUGUAUUUAGAUGCUUUGUCUGCUAGUUCUGCCAGAUCUCCAAACAGCAUCCCAUCAAAUUUUUUUCUCAGAGAGAUUUUAAGGGAGAUUUGAGCCAUUUGGAUGAAGUGCCCUUCCUCCAUAGGGAUUCAAAAUUUCAUUUUGAGCUUUUUGAACCUGGUUAUGAAGUCUUGGGCAGGCUCAUCUUCCCUCUAUUUCCAGGUUUGAGGGCAGCAAGAUCACUGAUGGUGACUUCUGGCUGAAUCCUAAAAUAGUAGUCAUGGAAGACAUUUUCCAUCUAUUUCCAGGUUUGAACAGAAUUGGCUGGUAAGCUAGUAUAUUAGAUGAAGGCUUGUCCAGAGAGAGAAUUUCGAAAAAGCCUUAGUUUUAACAGAAGGUUAUUUUCUAUGGCUAUGCACUGGAAAGAGAAUCUGCCUAUAUGCUUAACUGAUGAAGCAUGGGUGUCUUCUCCGUUGAACAAGGUGAAGUGUGGUACCUUAAAGCCCAGGGAUAGAGGUAUUUGAUCGAUAUAAGCUGGAUAAGGCUUUCUGUAGGUGGGCCUUUCUCCUCUUCUGGCCUCAGGUUCCAUCAUCUCUCUGAUCAUUCUAUAAAGUGCCCCCAUGUCAUUCAAAGCAUUGACAUGAUGCGGGGUUCGCCCCUGUUCUGGCUAGUUGUGUUCAAUCCUUUGUUCUACUUUAUAUGGCCUGGGCAGAACUUCCUCCCUAUGCUCUUCCUCUUUUUCGAAAUCUGGAUGAUUCCUUUAGUUUGCCCCCGGUCUGUUUUUGUCAUUGUUGGCAAAGGGUUUAACUCCUACUCUACCUCUCAUGCCACUUGCUAGUGGAGGGAAUGGAUUGGGGUCCAUCCUUCUAGGUCUGUAGGGCAACACAACUGGUUGCUCAGGCAGAAGUGCCAAGGCCUGAUCACGUGGGGCCACUAGUUGUGGAAUAGGUGGAGGUUCUGGCUAGUUCUGAGGGGGUCUGAACUGGUGCAGAGCCUUCUGGAUGAACUGAAUCCUCAUGUUCUUGGAUGGGAAGGGCUCCUCCCCUCUGUCCAGCUUGGAUUUCUCCAUGUCCUGGUAUUCCAGCUAUCUGUGUGAUGAGAGGCUUCUCUUCAUAUGGCCAUGCCAGUCCUGGUAGAGGUCCAAAAGGGAGAUCUAGCUGCUGGACCACCAUGUCUAGGUUUGGAAUUUUGGCAAUAGUAGCCUCACGGUCCUUCCUGAACUGCCUGUUGACUUGCCAUUACAUCAUGGUUGUCAUGUUGUUUAGAGUAUCUUGGCUCAUUUGUGCUGUGGCUUCUUGCCGAAACACAGCCUCCUGUAUCUAGUUUAACCUUCUGGAACCAGACAUGGAACGUCUACUCGUGGUACUGCCAUGGGCUGAUUACCUAGCAUCACUUUCUUUUGACUCAAGUCCUUUUCGGAGAGCUGCUUGAUCUCUUUUCAUGGCAUAGCGUGGAUUCUGGCUAGAACUUCCAAUAUUCAUAUACUAGAGGAUUUUUCUAGAAAUAUAUGUAUUGAGAAGUCCCACUGGGCGUGCCAAAUUGUUCAUCCGUUUUAGAUUUGUUCCUGUGAUGGUAGGGUAAAGUUCCUCAUUGACUUGAAAACCAUUGGUGGUCAAUAAGUCAACUUUCUUUUGUGUACAAAUGUGCCACUGCUAGCAAUAAAAACCCUAGCAGACUUCUUAAAAAUAGAAAACUUGUGCCCAAGUUAUUAACUUCUAAAUAAGCGAUUGUGAAUUUGGGCGAGGAAUAUCUCCCAAGUAAGUUCUUUUCUUUGCCUCAGAUUGGUGAGGACUUCACAAUUUUUCACAGUACAAAACUGGUAGUUCUAGCUAGAAUAAAUGAUAAGAAAGUGAACUGUUUUCAGGCAGAACUACCUUUUACAAAGCUUAAAAAGGAAGACCAACUCUAAAAAGACAAAAAGAGCUUUUGGACUUCAAUUUCUGCUUGGAUAAAUGCUUCUGAUCCGGGCUGGACUGGGUAUGUUUGUGCUGGACUGGACUAUCAACACCUUCAACUGUCAAGUUUUAGCUGUCAAUGAAUACCAAUGUUCGAGUGUGGCAAAGCUUCAAUCUAUUUCAAGCCGUGCAAGGCUUUUUGAACGGACAGAAUUGGAACCUCUUCAGUCUGGAAGGGGUAGAAGUGGCUGAAUUUGGUGAUUACUGAGCUGGAACUGCACUGUAGUACCUGUUCUGCUUGAUCAGGGCUCUCCAUAAAUUUGUUGAGGUUUUAAUAUUGGUAAAACCCGAAGCUUAUGUUGAACCAACUUUGUAACGAGAGAAAUCUUGCUUUGAAUGACUAUUUCUCUGAAACUAAACAGAAGUUAGAGAUUCUGGAAUAUAGCUGACUUGUUUCUUAUGGCUCAAUGAGCUUUUGGUUGCUUCAGUGUUUUGAAGGCUUUUGAGAUCAAGUGAUCAUUUUGAGUUUUUAUUUUUGAUUGAUUUUUUGGCUGUCCUUUUAUCUGUUCACCUCAUCUCAUAUUUAUAGAAUAUACUGGAGUGUGAUUUCUAAUCUUUUAAUAAUGGGCGGCAAAUCUUUUAAAAGAUCUUUUUUUCUUUUUUCAAUGUCAUAAGAGAAGGAAGCUACUAUUCUGACAGAGAAAGGUUGUCAACAAUCAUCUUUCAAUUUUUCUAUGUUCACUUUUUGUUCUUUGUAAAGAGAAAGAACACAAUCUACCAUGAUGGUCAGUGUGCUUUUCCUGUUGAACAACUCCCUCGUUCUCUACUUAUCUCUUGAAAACGUAGUCUGCUUAUCUCUUGGAAAGACCACCUGAUUUGGUGCAGAGCUUCUCUAUAUAUAUAUAUAUAUAAAGGGAUUUUGAUCUUCUUCUUUUGGCUGAAAAAAUAGAGAAGUCUUUCUGUAAGACCUGCCUUCAUUAAUUUUCUAUCAACUUCUCUGUAAUAGUUGAAAAUUUUGACUUUUCAAAGCCAGGUAUUCACGUGGGGUUGUUUAGAAAAGAUCUGUUGAUUUUGUCAAUCUUUUAGGGUAGAGAUUAAAUAGCGUAAAAAGGCUGGGCUAGUCUCUUUUUCUUAGUAGAUAAAAAGCCCAAAUAUUUUGUCUCACUGCCCUUUUCUGGAAAAUAAAUGGGCUGGGUGUGUUGGAAAUUGGCCCAAUCUUAAGAAAGACUCUGGUGGCUGCCCAAAAUUGACAUAGGCUUUUCUUGAUUUUGGGCUGGGCAUGCCAAAUUAGGCCCAAACAAUGCCCCUUAAGUCUGAAUUGUUUUUGGAAUAGUUUCAGACUUAAUGAUUUGGCCAUUAAUUUGUGCGCGCCAUUUCCUUCUGUUAGCCCACAUCUGCCACGUCUGCCUAUUAUGAUCAAGACUUCGUGGGAAAGUGGGCAGUUACUAGCUAGUUAUUAUCAGGUGGCGUCUUGUCUUCUUCUUCCCACGAUUUCGAGUCUUUCUAAGAAAUUUAAAAAGACCUCAGCUCCUGUUUACUCAAAACCUAACUUCUUCAGACCUUGAUUUUCCUCAGUUUUCUCAGAAUUUUUACCCUUUUCUGCGAUCAAACCCUGCUUCCUUUCAGUUUGAUUCCCCUAUCCUAGCUCAAAACCCGAAAAUGUCUUCUCCAAAAAAUCGUGCCCAGACUUCUUCUUAUUCUGUUCCUCCUACCUACAUUACUGGGGCCGGUGUUGAUAAGCAUGUGAUUGAAGUCCGGAGCAAGCUUCAUCCUUUUGCCCAGAACGUUCUGGACAAGAACGUGUUACAUUUGUUCGAGAACACUCUUGUUUUGGAGCCUCAUCGGUUUGGUUCUGUCCCGACUGAAAUGGCAGAAUUGUUUAAAGAAUAUACUGAAGCUCCUCUAUGCUUUCAGAGCUCUUUCGUAGAUUUCAGUUUUAUAUAUAAACUAUCGUGUUUCUCCCUAUAACAUGUCGUUUUUAAGAAUUGUUGUCAAUGUUUUAUUUCCUGCUACUAUAAGACGGCGAUUAUUUAUACAUAUGAGACGUGUAAAUUAGAAUGAGACGUCAGUCUUUGGGAUUUAAAUUAAGUUUUUACGAUUUAAUGUCAUUUUAGUUCAUAUAAGGACAUAAAUGUCCUAACCAAAAAUAUAUUUAUGUACAUUGUCAAUAAAUUAAAAUAAACCUAAACAUUGUUAAAAUAAAUUAGAUCACUUAUUAUUCUGUAAUUACUUGUUAACGAAUUCAGCCCAUUCCAACCUGACUUCGUCAAUAUGUUCUUAUACAUACUGAACUGGUUCCUUUUUCUUAUCAAACUGCAAAUAAAUAACAAAAACCAACGUGUUAUAAAGAUUACAACGACUGCUUUUAAAGAAAAAGUUGUGGUACUAAAAUAAAGAAUUUAUAUCUUAAGUUUUGCCUUUUACCUUCUUCUCAAAUGCUAGGCCUGGAUCAUGAAUUAUAUCUCUCAUGAAAUGCAUCACGUAAUAGCCACACUCUACAUUUGUUGGUUGUCGAGGAGUGCCAUGUAGAUUUUUCCAUAUGACUGAUUUACAUGAUGAUUAAUUGCCUGUGUGAGAGUUAUACAUUUUGAUUGAACUGUUUCAAGAAAAUGAAAAGUGUUAAUGAUAAAAAUAAAAAUCUAAAGCAAAAAUAUUAAACGUCGUGGUAAAUAAGUGAAGACGAUGGUUUUGUUAAAAAAGUGAUGUUGUAUUUCAUUUCAAACGUUGGUAAAUAAAAACCGUCGUUGUGUAGAAUUCUAACGUCGGUGACGAUGAAAAAUGACGUAUAACCAAAAAUUGUUUGUAAAUGAAAGUUGAACAGAAAAAAAUAAAACUUCCUUAAAUGAAAAACACAAACGACGUGGUAUUUCAAUUAAAAUGACGGUUUACAGAAAAUACUGACGUUGUAAAUGAUUUCAAACAUCGGUUUGAAGUUACCAUCGUGUUUUCAUUGUAACGUCGGUAUUAGAAAAAGCCGUAUAUCAUUCAAAUGCAAAUAAAAAAAUGUUAGAUUUUCAUAGAUAAACUUACAUAUUCACUAUAUUUCUCAUGUCCUCGUCAACAACGCGGUUUGGCAAUGAAUCCAUGUAAUAGAUAGUCUCCUUCGCUGGUCUCACAAUUAUUAACACCCAAUGACCCCUACACAUAAUGAUCCAUAUAGGUUAAAUAUACUAGAAAGAAAAAUAGGCAUCAAGUAUAGUUAAGGGGACUAACCUUGGAUUACAAGGCACCAUGUAAAAUUGAUCCCCAUUUGCGUUUUUCAGGCGGUCUGAGAGAUGUUUCAAACGGUAAGAUAACGUUCCAGAUUGAGAGCUGACUUGUCCAAGGUCCACGAAGCCAAUAAGGUUUACCAUAUUUUCUAUUUUUAAAUAGUCAAAUAGGCACCUAAAUAUAUGAAAUUCAAUUAAAUGAGAUUUUAACUUUAAAGAAAGGAAAUGUAUAAUGCAAUCACUGUGGAUCCAAUCUCAACCAUGGAAGGAAAUUGUAAAAUAUCUUCACACAAGAGGAAGGUAUCAUGGUUAAUGCCAAAGGCUUCCUCUGGAAUGUGAAUUCUAAUGGUCUCGUUAAUGGGCUUCAACUUGGUCUCGACAAAUUGAAAUAAGGCUAACAGAGGAGGUGGCAUGUCUAGCUUUGAGAGAUCCUGUUACAACAAAUAAAUAAAGAAAUAUAAGUUAGUUUGUACACUAAGUAAAAUAAACGACUCUAACUAAACCAAUCAAACCGACGUGGUAUAUAAUAUAAUCGACAGUUUCUAGAACAUACUGAAGGAGUAAAGGUUAUAGACGACGGUAAAGACAUAACCAUCGUUAUGUAAAUGUUCUAACGUCGCUGCAUUAUGGAAAGGUCGUCUAAUUAAAAUGCAGUGAAGCCUUUAUUGAAAUACACGACAGUUUAUAAAAUAAACACCGACGUAGUAAAAUACUGAGACGACGGUUAUCAGCAACGUCUAUUUGAAAUUAUAAAUCAGAAAAAAUCAAAUAUCAAAGAUUUUACCGUUUCAUCUUGCCAUUGUUUAGCAACAUCAGCAUCAUUCGUGGGAUUUUCUUCCUCCAAAACAAGGGGUCUCACAUUAGAGCAGCUUGCUUUGUCAGACAUUAGAUUUUUUGGAGUAAUUGGAGUUUUAUUGAGCAAGUUGGGAUCACAGUUGGGAAUUAGUUGACUGAAUUGUUUCAAUAAAAUUUCCCUCUCUGCUCUGACUGCCUCCAAAACAGUUUCUUUUGCCUUAGCUUUAAUCUUUUUGGUUUCUUCUCUCACUGCCUCCAUAACACUUUCCUUCAAUUUGUUAGCAAAUUUUACUCUCUGCUGUCUCGACAAAUUGAAGAAUUGAGUUGGGGAAACCCCAGCUCCAACACCUCUAACUCUCCCACCAUGCUCAGGGGUUCCCAAAGCCAAGGUCAAAAUAUCGUUGCUCUCAGAGACAGCAGAGUGCCCUCGGAAACUUGUUUUUUCAAAUCAUCCUAAAAGUGAGAGAGAGAGAGAGAGAAUGUUAGUGAGUGAACAGAUAGUAAAACAGAUUAAAUAAACAACUAUACAAAAAUAUUAACCGACGUGGUAAAGACUUUAAAAAACUGAAAUCAAUCCCCAAUAGUAACAGGGACCAUGCAGCAACGAUUUGGUUGACAGUAGUAUAGGUUGGAGAUGCUGUUGAUCAUUAGAUACUAUUUUUUUAAAUAUCAAUUCUGUAACAUCCAGACCUAAAAAAUUAAUGAUUUUGAUUUAAAAUUAAAUUUAAAUAAGCAAUUACGAAUUUACCCUUGGGGAAGGGGUAUUUUGGUAUUUUUUUUUUAUUCAGAAAGAGUUUGGGGCAGUGACUAGUAUUUUUGGGUAGAUCGUACUGAGACGAAUCCGUAGACACGCGGUAGGCCUGAAUCGGAGUUGUAACGAAGAAACGGUGACCAAAAUUAGUCCAGUGGCAAACUUGUAAAUAUUUUGAACUUGGGUGUAGAAAAAUCUGAAACUGGCUUCCUCUCUCCUGCGUGCACACGUCCUUCUCUCUCUCUCCUCUCUCUCUCCUCGAUACCAUCACUCUCUGUCUCUCUCUUCGAUUCUCUCAAUUCUGGCCACGGCAAGGGCCGGGACUGGUUCCGAUCAACUCCUCACAAAGCCCCGAACCAGAACCACCACUUUUCUUGGCCGGAAAGCUCGAGUUUCGCGUGGUAAUCUCGACUGGUUUGAACCAGUUUUCCUCCGUCAUUGUGCCGCCGCCAUCGCAGCCCAAUCUCGGUUAAACAAGUGAGGUUUCUUACUCUUUUUCCGAGCUCUAGCUGCCUGUUGGGUAGGAUUGGAUUGAUUUUUUGUCUAGGAUCCCGAUUUUGAAACCUAAGUUUUGACGAAUUUCAAAGUGAAAUUCCGGCCGGUUGCCGUCCUAAUUAGACCUCCCCGUAGUUGAAUAAAGUGAUCCUCGCUUCGAGUAGUAGCUAAGGUAGGAAUGGUGAAUUGCGGUGUGGAGUUUUUCCAUCACUGAAAAUUACUCUACACAUCCACGCGUUGCCAGGGCAUGUGGAGGCGCAUGGGCAAUGUGGUGAGACCACAUUUUAUCCUGAUGUAGUCUCCUAGUCCUCACGUGCGCGUAAGUGUGCUCGAAUUUCAAUUCGAAUGUUGUUUGACUAUCGAACGGAUUUAUGCAUAUUGUUUCUUAUCCGGGUUCAAUAUGUUCGGACCAUUGGAUCGAGUCCAAAUUUACGUAUGUUAAUCUAGGCACCCCUAGGAUCAUGUGCGAAUUCGCGGAUCGUGAAUCGGAGCCCCGAAUGUUCCGAUUCAAUAAUUUGAAGUUUAUGGUUUGCGAUAACCGUCAAUUUCUGACCAAACCUACAGGACGUGUUUCCUAAACCCGUAGUCGGACCUUAGAAUACUCGUUAUGCGUGCACGCACCGGGAACUUGAGAAAAUUAGUAUUUAAUUUGUAAAUUCCGUUUUGAAGUGAUUUUUUAUUAAUUAAGGGUGCGUAUCUCGAAAUAGGUGCUCCAUCACUAGCACGCAGCAGGUAGGACCCUCUUGAGGUCAGGCAGUGUGGGACUACUUGUGAGUGGACAUUUAUUUUAUAUAUGCAUUAUUUUCAAUGAUUGAAAGAAUAUGCAUGAAAUAUAUAUAUUUUUUGGAAUAAAGAUUGAGAAAUUCAUAUGUUGUUAUAUCAGUAUUAUUUAAUUUAGAAUUUGGUUUGAUUUGAUGAUGAGUUAUAUAAAGGUCAAGUUAUUCGUGAUUAAGUCUUGGAUGAAUUUUGGGGGAAUCGGGAAUUGAAUAUUAUGGUUUAUGGUGGGAACUUAUAUGAUUACACUGUGUGGAGUACCAUCCCCUAGUUACUAGGCUUCCCACAUGUGGCGUUGGAAAUUUUCCAGCGUGUGAUGAUGUAGUCUGCACGCAUAGGACUUAGUAUUGGAGCUACACGUGGCGUUGGAAUUUCCGGCAUGUAAGCUAUGGAGUUUCGUCCCCCGGUUGGACCGCUCAUCCCUAGACGCAGGAUAGCAACUGAAAAUCUUGCGGGUUAGCCAAACAAUCCCCCGGUUGGAUUGUUUCCCCGGUACCUAAGUAGUGUGAUAAAUAUUAUGUAUAUUUAUAGAUAUAUAUAUUUCUAUGUGUGUGUGUGUGUGUGUGUGUGUGUGUGUGUGAGUAUAAAUCAGUUAAAGUAUAUGUAGUGGUUGGGUAAGAGCAGUAUAAAUUUUGGGGAUAAAGUUUAUGGAUAGAGUGAUUGAUCUCAAAGGGUUUCGGAGAAUGAUGUUUUUGAUCAUUAAAUAAAAGUUAUGAAUCUGCAUGUCUUGAGCAUUAUUUUUAGACGGUGGGGUUAUUAUGUUGUUUUGAAUGCAAAUUUUGUUUUUCCACUCACAUGUUUUCUGUUUUGCGCCCCCCAAACAGUAGUCGCUCAAGGGAGAGUUGCAAGCCAUGUUCGAGGCCCCGAACUGUGAACAUCAGUAGAUUAGGUUUCGAGUAAUUUCUUUCUACUCAACUGGAUGUUCUUGUAAACUAAAUUCGUUAGAUGCUCUAUUAUUGCCCCUGUUAGGUUUUACUUGUGAGGCCAGAGGCCAUUUAGUUUAUACUGUUGAAUAAUAAAUGCAUGCUGCUGGUUGGGAUUAUAUUGUGCUUAUGCAGGUUGAAAUUUUUGGGAUUGUUCAAUUUACAUGGGAGACUCUAGCAAAAUUUUAGUAGAGAGUCUCGGUUUUUAAUAAGUGGGCCAGGCAUCGGGGUAAUGUCGGAAAUAAGACUGGAUUCGUCCCGGUUUCCGAAGAAUUCGAGGCGGGUCCUGUCAAGUUCCUCCUAUUAACAAUAAUAAAUUAAAUAUUUAUAUAACUGAUAACAGUUCCUCAUAUUAACAAUAAUAAAUUAGUAUUUUGUAUAAUAAACAUGUUUAAUGAAAUUCAUCUUCUUCUAGCAUGUUUAUUUAAAUUCUAAGUUUUCUGAAGAAAAAAAAAAAAAAAAAGGAGAAGGAAAUGUCCUAAAUUAAAUCUUAAAAGUUCAUUUUUUUCUGUCCCUAUAUAUUUUUUACCCAAUUAUAAUUUGAGAAAAAAAGGUGAAUUAACUGUCAUUUCACCUUCAUCAUUUUCAUGAUUUAUAUAAGAUUCUUCAAAGAUCAUUUCCACAAAAAAUUACUUAAAUUCGAAUCCAUUUAACCGUCUAAUUAAAUCGUUAGGACCGUUGAAAUAAAAUUUAAAGUGAGUUUAAAGUGAGUCCUACUAUGUCUCCCUCAAAUAAGAUCAUUUACAGGAUCUGUCGAGUCAUAUGAGAAUGUUUAGCUUUUCGAUCCCAAGAGUUUGGUUCGAUUUUCAUAUAUAUAUAUAUAUAUAUAUAUAUAUAUACAAGUCAAUUUACUUUAAAAAGUUCACCAAAUUUUAUUUUUGGUCUCGGUAGUUUGCUUGAGGGCCUUUUUCUGUCAAUCUAUUUGUUGUGAUUGAAAGAUUUUAUAUAAAACAAAAGAUAUGUUUUUAUCUUAAAAAAUGCUUAUUUUCAGAUCUUUACAUAUAGACAUACAUAUGGCCUGAGAAUUCAAGCAAUAAAGACAUAAGCUGAUGAGCAUUCAUAAUCAUUAGAAUGAGUACUGAAUGGUCAACUCUUUCAAAAUACUUCGGAAAAAAACAAAGGACAAUACUUCCUUCCUUACUCAUAAGAAGGAACUCCUUCUCACCUUCUAUUGUCCCUCAACCACAAAGUAACAAGUGUUCUCUUUUUUUAAUUGUCAAUUUUUUUUUUUUCACUUUUACUGAACCCCUAGCUUUUUACCAAAGCAAAAAACACAAAACAAUAUUCCCAUUGUUUUUUUUUUUCAUUUUGAUUUUUUUCUCAACUUUUUGAAAAAUAACAUUUUUCCUUCUUCAGUAAAAAAUUGAAGUCUUUGUGGUUAAAAGCUAAGGUUUCAGUAAAGGUUUAAAAUAAAUAAAAAGUUUUGACAAUUCAAAAAACAGAACACAUAUCACUUUGUGGUUGAGCCGCAAUAGAAAGUAAGAAAGAAUUCCACCUUACCCAUAAGGAGGGAAGUAUUGUCAAAAAGAAAACAUCUUAAAAAACACACAGAAAACCCACCAUCACUACUUAAAAGAAGUAGAGAAGUCCAACAUUCUGAUUUUUAUACACCUACGUGACGUGAGCAUUCAAUAAUCAUCCUACACAUAUGUUGAUGUGAGCAUUCAAAAUCAUUAGAAUGAUUUAAUUGAAGACUCAACGUACGGACGUCUUUUUCACUUAGAUUCCCUUCCUGUACAAACUUGAAUCAGUUCCUCCACGACCCCAUCAAUCUCUUCAUCCUCUUUCUUGUUCACGUUGUCGCUUAUUUUCAAUGCCUUUUUUCUCACUCCCUCUCCAAAUUUCUCCACAACCACAUCUCUAAUCACCUUUGCGACCUCUUCUCUUUGCAAACUUCCUUCACCUGUUCUCUUAACCUCCACACCAACACCCACCUCCUCCACUAGUCUAGCGUUGAUCGGCUGGUCAAGAUGCAUAGGCAUGGCUAUAAUUGGAACACCAAACUUGAUGCUCUCCAACACUGAGUUCCAUCCGCAGUGACUCACAAACCCCCCAACACUAGAAUGCUGCAGUAUCUUUGCCUGUGGGGCCCAACCCUCCAUUAUCACUCCCUUCUCUCCCACCCUCUGUAAAAACCCUUCUGGUAACACCUCUUCAACCCUAGUACUUCUCUCCUCCUUAGAAAAUCUUAUAACCCAAAUGAAGCUCACUUUGCUAAGCUCUAAUCCGUGAGCUAUCUCUUCUAUUUGCUCCUUGGACAGAAAGUACUCACUGCCAAAGCAAACAUACACAACAGAAGACCUUUCCAUUUUGUUCAGCCAUUUCAUGAUCCAUGUUUCCUCAUCAACUUUUUGAUCCAUUGGCUCUUGAACAAGCGUGCCAACAGGCACGAUCUUCUUCCCCGUUAAAUCAGAGAGAUAAUCAAUAUAUUUUUCUUCAAUCUCGCUGGAUGUCUUGACCAAAAUGAUGUUACAAGAUCGAGCACUGCAUUGCUGAACACGGUCUCCGUCUUUGAUGCCAUUUGCUGAAGAUUCCAACAAAUUGUUGAACUUUUCAGCUUCGUAAUGUUGAAGAUAAAUCGAAGGAAAAGGAAACUUGACACUAGGGUUCUUGAGAUGUUGAAUACUAAAUGAAGUAAAGGCAGCACCCAUGGUGGUGAAUUCAAUGGAUGGAAAAUUUUGCAAUGAAGCUAGAGAGGGCGCCCAUGGUUGAAGAACAUCAUAUAUGAGCAAAUCUGGACUUAGGGUUUUGAGGAUGUUGGAGAAGUUGUUGCUGGACAUGCUGAAAGCCGUUUUGAGAGUGGACAUGAGAUGGGGAGGGAGGCCAUUGGUGGUGUGGUAGUGCGGUGGGAGUUCAGGCAAGUCAUCAUGUGGAAGAUGGAGUUCCACAAAUUCAAUGCAAUGAGAAUAUUUUUGGGAGAGUUUAGGCUUGAUGGAGCUGAGAUUUACAGGCGUGGAACAAAUAAAGAUGUGAAAAUUUCUCUUGGUGGUCAGCUUCUUGGCUAGCUCUAGGUAGGGAGAUAUAUGGCCGUGAGCUAGCCAUGGAAGCAAAAGAAUAGUAAGGCUUCUUUGGUCAGAGAAAACCAUAUUUUGUUUUCCUUUGACUUGUUUUCCUUUGACUCUUUUGCUUGAGGUUGCUCGAUUAUAGGCUUAUUGGUAGUUUGUUUGUGGCUAGCUCUAUGCAUAUAUAUAUAUAUAUAUAUAUAUAUAUAUAUAUAUAUAUACACACACAAAAACGCGUGAUGAUUGGAACAUGCACACGUAAGUUCCAGAGAGUGAUGAUUGGCCUAUGAUAAAGACUCGAAACAAGAAUAGUUUAAAUUUUCUUCUUUGUUUGGCUUGAUAUAAGACGAAUGCACCAAACAAACCGACUAAAUGCCGACACAAUAAUUAGGUACGUAAUAAUAUCAACUUUCAUUAUAUAGAUCUGAGAAACAAAAAGUUGAACUUUGAUGACAAGCGAUAUUAAGGAAGGGCACAAUCGAACUUAGGAUCUCGAAUGUUGAAGUACAUGCUCUUAACAACUUGAGCUAUAAGGUAUUUGUAAUGACAAUUUAUGGUUUUAAUUAUACUUUUGAAUAGUUGCUUCCUUCUCUUUCAUUUUUAUUUUUAUUUGUUUAUAUUUAACUCUAAUUUUAUUUAUAUUUCUGGUCAAGGUAUAAAGACUUUGAAUCUCUCUCCAAUUAUUUUUCACAGCCGAAACUCCUUUAGUUUCCACAAAUCUUUUUAAACAUUUCAGGCAUAUGUAUGUUUCCGAGUCGGAUGGUUCACGUAACCAAGAAAUUUAAACUUGUUUUUGUUUGUUCCUCCGAAGAAAGCACAACAAAAGGACAACCUACAACCAAUACUUCUCAUUGAAUUUGUUGCCGUGAAUGAUUAGGACUCUGCCCAAACUAGUAGUUGCGUUUCUGAAUUGUUUGAAAACACAUAUCAAAUUAUGAUUUCUCCUCCCCGAAAGAAAAAUUGACGUAGAAGUAUCAUGAUCUUGAUGACACAAAUUAGAAUCUAGGGUUUUCGAAGUGCCUAAUGGACAACUACUUAUUUAGAAAUAUAUAUAUUUUUGUGGCUAAAAUUUAAAUUUAUUAUAUAUAUUCUCAAUGCAGAAACACAUAAAUCUAAGUUCGAAUUCAUCCUUUUUUUGUUUUUUUUUUUUUGUUUUUUUAACCCAGAAGAAAAAUUGAGUCCCACUCUGCUGUGUAGAAUGCGCGUUUAGUAUAGAUUUUUUUAUUUUUGAGUCUCUUAUCUGGUUCCCGAGCUUCUACAUUUAGGUCUCGUGUAUUUAUCUGCAUUUUCUUAAAUCUAAAUCACUCAAACAAUCUAACCACUUAACAAAUGACACGUACUCAAACUUAAAAUCAGAAUGGAUGGAGUAGAGGCUUACACCGAUGAUUCUUGGUCAAGACUUGAGAGACAGAUGGAGACGAGGCAUGACAUAAAGUCUGAAGAAGAGAAACGAGGAAGCUUCAUUUAGAUGGUGGUGUAAGUGCAUACGUAAAGUCCAGAUUCAACAGGAAAGCAUCUUAAACGUAAAGAAAAUAAGUUUACCAGAAGCAAAAGAGAUACUGAAGUAAUUGUUUAUCAACUGAACUUAAACGAAAUAUUAACUCUUUGUUGUGCCAUAAGCACAAGAUCUUAUGAAAAAAAAUUCAAGAUAAACCAUAUAAUAUUGGGAGAUUCACGUUUAUACCGAAUAUAGGAAUUCAAAUUAUAAAAUAAAUAAAUAAAUAAAAUAAUCGAUAUGAAAUGGACUUUAGAAACACACACAAAGCCUAUUUACAACAUAACAAAAAGGUUUUUCCCUUCUUUUAAAUUACAAAACUGCCAUUGAUUUCUUAAAACAAACCCAACUCCAAAACCUCAUUAAAAAAGCACAAAACACUCAAUAGGGUGUCAAAGUAAUUUAAUAAUAAAAAAUAAAUUCAAUAAGGCCAAUUGAAUUUUUUGGAUUUUUUUUUGGGUUUGUUUAUAGAAAUUAAUGGUGUAGGGUUUAUCUAUAUUAUUGGUGUUAAGAAUGAAUAAUGACUAAAUAUCUCUAUAAUAUUUUCUAACUCACAAAAUAAUAUAGAAAAUAAAUGCAAGAACAAGAAAAUAGCAAUAUGCAAUUUAACGAAGCUGCUUACAAUCAGUGCAAAUGAGCAAACAAAUUCGCUAUUAAUUUAUGAAGUGUUUUUGUAUUUACAAUACCGCCUCUUGAAUGUCCACCAUACAAUAAUAUAGUUGCAUCAUUAAAAACUUUACUUGAAAAAUCGUUUGGGACAAAACUUAAGCUAAGAGAAAAAGAGUGCAACACAAAUGAUAUUGACAUCACAUAUGUCUCUCCUACAGAGUGAGCUUUGGUGAUGCUUGUAUAAAAAUUGCUUUCACAUCAUUAUUGGGAGAUGUAUGUAUGUCAUCAAUCAUUUGAAUCUUGUUGAGGUUAAAGUAAAACCAAAAAAAUAUCAAGGGCCAUUUUCAUAUAGUUUUUCACAAUAAAAAUUAACAAAAUAACUUCAUGUUCUUUAAUAUCAUCAAAAAAAUAAUAUAAACAAACUCAUAGUUUACCUUUUCAAUGAUAAGUGUUUGGAAAAUUUACAUGGAAUAAUAUUUGGUAUGCUAUGCUAGCAUCUCAUAAGCUCUUCAAGAGACCUAAAUUUUAUGAUAACUUCUUAAAAAAAUUUGAAUACUUUUCAACAAUAUUAAACUUGAAUUCAAACUCAUAAUUCAAUCAAAGUACUCAUUGAGGCAAUUUAGAUCAUUUUCAUUUUAAGAAAAUUGGGUGCAUACAUUGAGCUUCAUGCCCUUUACCUUCUUAGAGAUUUUCUUCGAGCAAUUUAUAUUGCAUGACAGAUUAUAUCUCUUAGAAUUUGUUCUUAUGUAUUCUUCAAGAGAUCUCUUCUUGCAAUAUGCUUCAAACACUUCAUAAUCUUUAUAGAUUUUUCAUGUAGAUUUAAGGUCUCCAUGAAUAUUGAGAUUGAAACAAGGAGUAAAAUAAAAGUUUAAGAAAAAUUUUCCCUGAUUAUUUUGUAAUUAUAAUGUUGGUGAAAACCUAAUUUCCUUUCUGAAAUUUGUGAAAUUUGUUAUUUGGCUAAGCUAAAAGUAUAAUAUUGACAAUAAAACGUAUACGAAAGUUUCUCUUUGGCUGGCUUCUUGGCUGGCUCUAGGAAGGGACAUUGCGGCCAUGAGAUAACCAUAGGAAGCAUAAUAAGAAUGCUUGGAUGCUCUGAACAAUCCAUUUUCUGACUCUUUUUCUUGAGGCGGUUGUUUUCUUAGGCCCAUCAGAGUUUAUGGUCGACAGAUAAGCUUCAAACACAUGCAUUGGUCGUGUCAGUUGCGAUAAACUCUUCCCAACAAUCUGAGACUCACAUCACUCCAAACACAUAAAAAGAAGUGGAAAUUUGCUAUUCUUUGUCUUUGUUUGGACAGCUAAUAGCAAAGCAUUGGAAACAUCGAAAAAAGAAAGUUAAUUAAUUUAAGAAAAACAAAGAAAUCCUUCUUUUUUUUUCUUUUUUUUUUCAGCAAACCGAAACAUAAAAUCCGAAAAAGAAGAAGGCAUGUCCAAAAUUACAUCUUGAAUUUAUUUUGGAGAUUCACUAUUAUACUCAAAUUAUAUAUGAAAUAAAUUUUAGAAACACACAUGACGCCAAUUUACAAUAUAACAAAAAAACUUUUAACUUCUUGUAAAUUACAAAAUUGUUAUCGAUUUCUUAAAACAAGCCUAAUCCUAAAACCUCAUAAAAAAAAAAUCAAAACACUCAAUAAGGCAUCAAAGUAAUUUAAUAAUUAAAAUUAAAUUUAAUAGGGUCAUCUGUCAUUUUUUGGAUUUUUUUCGAAGUUGUUUAUAAAAAUUAAAAUAAUGUAUAGUUUGUUUAUAAAAAUUAAAUGAUGUAGAGUUUCUUUAUAUAAUUAAUGUUAAUAAUGAGUAUAUGAAUAAAUGUCACUUUUCUUUAUUAACCAUUUAUAAUAUAUGAACUCAAGACUUCCUAUCGAACACCGAAUGGUCUUUCCAUUCCUUGUUAAUUCAAAGUCUGAAAAUGUUCGGUGUCAGCUCAUGAAUUUAAAGGCUUAAAGGCUCAAAACUUGAACGAAUAUGAAAGAAAAAAGUCGUUCACCGUUCAUCCUCUUCCUGCAGCUGUGCAUGCUAAUCACCCACUGAAUUAAACAUACAAAUACGCUUUAUGUUUUCUCAAAUUGUUCUUUGAACUAAGUAGAGGUUGGAAUACACUCGGGGUCAACAUUGUUCAAAUACAAAACACUUCUUAAUUUUAUAUUUUAUCAAAACAGAUCGAAACUUCAUUCAAACUGAGAACCUAGAUUACAAAACUACCAGAAAAACUGGAAUCUGCACUGUGGCCUCAUUAAAACCUUGCUUUAAAAAACUCCUAAAAGAGGAGAAUUCAGUCAAGAAAAAAGAGUACCACAGCAAGUGAAAUCCGAUAUCAUACUUCAUUCCUUUCUCAUACAAAGUUGAAUCAACUGCUCUACCACCCCAUCUAUCUCUUCAUCCUCUCUCUUUUUCAUGUUGUCUCUCAAUUCCAUUGCCUUUCUUUUCAAACCCUGUCCAUUUUCUUCCACCACCACAUCUCUGAUUACUUUUGCUAUCUCGUCCCUUUUCAGCCUCCCGUUCUCGUUGCCGCCUCCUCCCAUUCUCUUAACCUCCACACCAACUCCAACGUCCUCUACUAUUCUAGCGUUAAUAGGCUGGUCAAGAUGCAUAGGCAUGGCUACAAUUGGAACGCCAAACUUGAUGCUCUCCAACACUGAGCUCCAUCCACAGUGGCUCACAAACCCACCAGCACUAGAAUGCUUCAAUACUUUUGCCUGUGGAGCCCAACCAUCCACUAUUAUUCCCUUCUCCCCCACCCUCUCAAAAAACCCUUCUGGUAAUACCUCUUCAACCCUAGUACCUUUCUCUUCCUUAGGAAAUCUUAUAACCCAAAUAAAACUCACUUUGCUAAUCUCUAGCCCAUGAGCUAUCUCUUCUAUUUCCUCCUUGGAUAAAAAGUACUCACUGCCGAAGGAAACAUACACCACCGAAGAUCUUUCUCUAGUGUUUAGCCACUUCAUGAUUUUUGUUUCCUCCGAAUCCACUUCUUGCUCUAUAAGGUCUUGAACAAGUGAACCAACAGGCACAAUCUUCUUCCCAAUUAGAUCAGAGAGAUAAUCAAUAUAUUUUGCUUCAAUCUCUCUAGAACUCUUAACUAAUACGAUCUUACAAGAACGAUCGCUGCACUGCUUAGCACGGUCUCCAUCACUGAUGCCAUUUGAUGAAGAUUCUAACAACAUCUUGAUCUUACUAGUCUCGUAAUAGAUUGAAGGAAACGGAAAUUUGACACCAGGUUUCUCGCCAUGGUGGGUACAAACUGACAUCAUGGCAGCACUGGUUGUGAAGAACUCGAUGGCUGGAAUGUUUUGUAACAAAGCUAGAGAGGGUGCCCAUGGUUGAAGAAAAUCAUAAAUUAGCAAAUCCGGGUGUAGGGUUUUGAGGAUGUUGGAGAAGUUAGGGCUUGCCCUGUCGAAGGCGGUUUUGAGAGUGGACAUGAGGUGGGGUGGGAGGCCAUUGGUAGUGUGGUAAUGAGGUGGGAGUUCAGGCAAGUCGUCAUAUGGAAGAUGUAGUUGCACGAGUUCAAUGCAACGAGAGUAUUUUUCAGAGAGUUGUGGCUUGAUGGAUCUGAGAUUUACAGGUGUGGAACAAAAAUAGAUGUGAAAAUUUCUGUUGGUCAGCUUCUUUGCUAGCUCUAGGUAGGGAGAUAUGU
rnacentral:lncRNA from 1 species